rfam:Enterococcus columbae DSM 7374 = ATCC 51263 genomic scaffold acyDG-supercont2.1, whole genome shotgun sequence.
AAGAAUGUACAGGGGAGCUCAUAAUGGUGGGCUGAGAGGAAGUCAUCAACUUCGACCCUUCAACCUGAUUUGGAUAAUGCCAACGAAGGGAGUAUGCGCAAAACUUCA